AAGCCCUGGGUAUGGAGGGCAAGGAGUCAGGUCAUCCACACCCUCAGUGGGAGCAGUGCCCAGCAUGGAGUCUCAGUUUGGGAAAGACUGCCAGCAGCUGCUGCCCCCAAGCCUUUGCCCAUUGAGCCUUGAGCAGGCCAGAAAAGGGGGGUAGAUGAUUCACCUAGGAGAAGGAGACUCCUCAGGAGAAUCCCAGGACCCGCCUCAAUCCUGCAGCGUGGGCAGGAGUCUUCUCCCAACCUACACCCACAUAAACGACUCCUCCCUUGAGGGGACAGGACCUCAAGGCUGCUGAUGAGUCAGGAAUAGGAACACAUGGGCCUGGAUGGGAAAGAGGCAGAGAUUUGGAACCCACAGCCCAGCACUCAGAACACAAAAAGAGAUGAGAAGAAGGAAGAAGCCAAGAAGAUGAGAAGAGAAGUACACACUCAUAAUCACACAGACUUGGGAGAAGACAGCGAGACAGGCUCACUAACCAGACCGAUACACAUGUUCACCCAGAUAGACAGACAGACAGACAGACUAGGUAGGAAGAAGCCAGGACCAAUCAGACAGGAGAAGACGACACACACAGUCUGAGGCCUGGCUUUGCUGUUGACCUGAGUCUCACACCUGGGGACAACUACUCUAGGCUGUGACCCAGAGUCAAACACAGCCCCGAAGCUGUGCAGUUUGUAAGCCCUACUUCUGGAAGAAGAACCCAGUACGAGACUCACAGGGAGAGGAGCUGCUGGGAAGGUACAGCUACAUCUAACCUGGAGUCUAAGGCAAGAGAGUGGCAGCAGGUCUAAGAAGGUGGGAGAACCUCCUGGGAAGAGCUGAGUACAGAUGGAUAGGUCCCUCCACCAGUCCCAGGUGGAAAGCGGGAAGUUGCGUGUGCAGACUGGGGUCCCUGGGAGGGGACGCUCAGUGGAGGCCAGGGAACUCGGCGGCUUCACCUCGAGGGGGCUCCCAUCUCAAGUCUCCCGUGUCCGAGGAAGAGUCUGACGGCUCCCCAAGUCCGCAGGCGGGAGGCGGGUUCGAUGACGAAACACAGGGAGACAGUGAAGAGCGAGUGGGGAGAUCCUCGAAGGGGAAGAAGAGGGGAAGGAAGAGAAAAACGAACCAAAGGAGGAGUACACCGAGUACAGACGGAGGCAGGGUACGGGAAAGGAGGGGUGCGGGCGGAAGAGGGGCGGGCGUCUCACCCAUCCCAGUUCCGGCUCCCAGCCUCCCCCCCACCCAGCUUUGGUCAAUCCCCGGGCAGGCGCUGCGGAGACCGGGGAGGUGGGGUGGUCCCCGUGUCCUCCCCUUAACACACACCCCCACCCAGCCCCGGCCUCAUUUGCCUAAUGCAAUGCGGCUGAACUCUCGAUGAACUCGCCUAGCGGCGCCUCACCUCCAAGUGACCCACCCACCGCUGCCCGUGACAUCACCCGCAGGGUUCGCCCGCCGGUCCCCUGCCCGGCCCGACCGGGCCAGCUCUCCCAGACACGCAGAGAACGGCCGAAGGUGGGGCUGGGCCGUGGUGCCUGUGGCCAAGCAUUAGAGCCACGAACGCAGCGUGCCUAGUGUCCCGGUUGUGACAUUGUGCAACUUGGGUACUGUGUCUGAAUGAGACACCCGGCUUGUGUCACUGUCUGUGACAUCAUGUGUGACUCGGGCCACCAGUACGCCCGCCGGAACCCAACGCAGCAGCGCAGUACUGUUGGCAUAAACACAAGCAGAGGGGGUUCUCCUCUCCACUCUGCGUGCUUCCGGUGAGCAAAGCCCCGCCCAGGGUGUCUCCCAGCUAGGGAACUAGGAUUCACAGCCAAAUGGUCCAGCCCUGGAGAGAUAAAAGGAGGGUCUGGUGUCUUCCAGCUGACCACUUCCUCCCGGAAGCCCUCAGGAUGCCUAGGAUGUCUGUUUCUUUGAAAGAAGGACCUUGGUUGGGUAGGUCCUUAGAAAAAGGGGAUGCCCCUGGAGGAGGAGUAUCCCAUUACCCUGCUCUGUAAAAAGGAGAUGAAUUUACAUAAAACAGAAGGUUAUUCUUCUAGAAGCCAGGUGCUUUACAUAUGUUGUCACUUAAUUCUCACAGCAACUGCAAGAGGCUUUAAAAAUAAACAGUUUGGGUUGGAGAUGUGGCUUAAUGGUAGAGCAUUUCCUAGCUGCAUGAGACUGGUUCGAUCCCCAAUACCACCAAGAAAAGAAACUGAAAGCUCAGCAAGAGUAGAUGAGUCCUGCAAGAUCACACUACUAAUAUAAUGAGUAAAGAUGCAAGUUUCUGUCACCAGAGCACAUGCUUCCACCAAAGCAACUCAAUAUGAACUGUAUUUUCUAAGUGUCUUUUAUAAAGUGGAUAUCCUGAAGACCUUCUGGAGUAACAUCUACUAAUGUGUAAUAUGAAAACAUUAUAUGUA